GCCCACAUCCCGUUGAACCACCGGUUCCCGUACGAUGACCGAAGUUAAGCAACGUCGAGCCUGGUUAGUAGCUACAUGGGUGAUCGCUUGAGAAUACA